CUCGUAGGCGGUUUGUCGCGUCUGCCGUGAAAGUCCGGGGCUCAACUCCGGAUCUGCGGUGGGUACGGGCAGACUAGAGUGAUGUAGGGGAGACUGGAAUUCCUGGUGUAGCGGUGAAAUGCGCAGAUAUCAGGAGGAACACCGAUGGCGAAGGCAGGUCUCUGGGCAUUAACUGACGCUGAGGAGCGAAAGCAGUGGGGAGCGAACA
rnacentral:rRNA from 1 species